GGGUUGUGAGGUUAAGCGACUAAGCGUACACGGUGGAUGCCCUGGCAGUCAGAGGCGAUGAAGGACGUGCUAAUCUGCGAUAAGCGUCGGUAAGGUGAUAUGAACCGUUAUAACCGGCGAUUUCCGAAUGGGGAAACCCAGUGUGUUUCGACACACUAUCAUUAACUGAAUCCAUAGGUUAAUGAGGCGAACCGGGGGAACUGAAACAUCUAAGUACCCCGAGGAAAAGAAAUCAACCGAGAUUCCCCCAGUAGCGGCGAGCGAACGGGGAGGAGCCCAGAGCCUGAAUCAGUGUGUGUGUUAGUGGAAGCGUCUGGAAAGGCGCGCGAUACAGGGUGACAGCCCCGUACACAAAAAUGCACAUACUGUGAGCUCGAUGAGUAGGGCGGGACACGUGGUAUCCUGUCUGAAUAUGGGGGGACCAUCCUCCAAGGCUAAAUACUCCUGACUGACCGAUAGUGAACCAGUACCGUGAGGGAAAGGCGAAAAGAACCCCGGCGAGGGGAGUGAAAAAGAACCUGAAACCGUGUACGUACAAGCAGUGGGAGCCUCUUUUAUGGGGUGACUGCGUACCUUUUGUAUAAUGGGUCAGCGACUUAUAUUCUGUAGCAAGGUUAACCGAAUAGGGGAGCCGAAGGGAAACCGAGUCUUAACUGGGCGUUAAGUUGCAGGGUAUAGACCCGAAACCCGGUGAUCUAGCCAUGGGCAGGUUGAAGGUUGGGUAACACUAACUGGAGGACCGAACCGACUAAUGUUGAAAAAUUAGCGGAUGACUUGUGGCUGGGGGUGAAAGGCCAAUCAAACCGGGAGAUAGCUGGUUCUCCCCGAAAGCUAUUUAGGUAGCGCCUCGUGAACUCAUCUCCGGGGGUAGAGCACUGUUUCGGCAAGGGGGUCAUCCCGACUUACCAACCCGAUGCAAACUGCGAAUACCGGAGAAUGUUAUCACGGGAGACACACGGCGGGUGCUAACGUCCGUCGUGAAGAGGGAAACAACCCAGACCGCCAGCUAAGGUCCCAAAGUCAUGGUUAAGUGGGAAACGAUGUGGGAAGGCCCAGACAGCCAGGAUGUUGGCUUAGAAGCAGCCAUCAUUUAAAGAAAGCGUAAUAGCUCACUGGUCGAGUCGGCCUGCGCGGAAGAUGUAACGGGGCUAAACCAUGCACCGAAGCUGCGGCAGCGACACUAUGUGUUGUUGGGUAGGGGAGCGUUCUGUAAGCCUGUGAAGGUGUGCUGUGAGGCAUGCUGGAGGUAUCAGAAGUGCGAAUGCUGACAUAAGUAACGAUAAAGCGGGUGAAAAGCCCGCUCGCCGGAAGACCAAGGGUUCCUGUCCAACGUUAAUCGGGGCAGGGUGAGUCGACCCCUAAGGCGAGGCCGAAAGGCGUAGUCGAUGGGAAACAGGUUAAUAUUCCUGUACUUGGUGUUACUGCGAAGGGGGGACGGAGAAGGCUAUGUUGGCCGGGCGACGGUUGUCCCGGUUUAAGCGUGUAGGCUGGUUUUCCAGGCAAAUCCGGAAAAUCAAGGCUGAGGCGUGAUGACGAGGCACUACGGUGCUGAAGCAACAAAUGCCCUGCUUCCAGGAAAAGCCUCUAAGCAUCAGGUAACAUCAAAUCGUACCCCAAACCGACACAGGUGGUCAGGUAGAGAAUACCAAGGCGCUUGAGAGAACUCGGGUGAAGGAACUAGGCAAAAUGGUGCCGUAACUUCGGGAGAAGGCACGCUGAUAUGUAGGUGAAGUCCCUCGCGGAUGGAGCUGAAAUCAGUCGAAGAUACCAGCUGGCUGCAACUGUUUAUUAAAAACACAGCACUGUGCAAACACGAAAGUGGACGUAUACGGUGUGACGCCUGCCCGGUGCCGGAAGGUUAAUUGAUGGGGUCAGCGCAAGCGAAGCUCUUGAUCGAAGCCCCGGUAAACGGCGGCCGUAACUAUAACGGUCCUAAGGUAGCGAAAUUCCUUGUCGGGUAAGUUCCGACCUGCACGAAUGGCGUAAUGAUGGCCAGGCUGUCUCCACCCGAGACUCAGUGAAAUUGAACUCGCUGUGAAGAUGCAGUGUACCCGCGGCAAGACGGAAAGACCCCGUGAACCUUUACUAUAGCUUGACACUGAACAUUGAGCCUUGAUGUGUAGGAUAGGUGGGAGGCUUAGAAGUGUGGACGCCAGUCUGCAUGGAGCCGACCUUGAAAUACCACCCUUUAAUGUUUGAUGUUCUAACGUUGACCCGUGAUCCGGGUUGCGGACAGUGUCUGGUGGGUAGUUUGACUGGGGCGGUCUCCUCCUAAAGAGUAACGGAGGAGCACGAAGGUUGGCUAAUCCUGGUCGGACAUCAGGAGGUUAGUGCAAUGGCAUAAGCCAGCUUGACUGCGAGCGUGACGGCGCGAGCAGGUGCGAAAGCAGGUCAUAGUGAUCCGGUGGUUCUGAAUGGAAGGGCCAUCGCUCAACGGAUAAAAGGUACUCCGGGGAUAACAGGCUGAUACCGCCCAAGAGUUCAUAUCGACGGCGGUGUUUGGCACCUCGAUGUCGGCUCAUCACAUCCUGGGGCUGAAGUAGGUCCCAAGGGUAUGGCUGUUCGCCAUUUAAAGUGGUACGCGAGCUGGGUUUAGAACGUCGUGAGACAGUUCGGUCCCUAUCUGCCGUGGGCGCUGGAGAACUGAGGGGGGCUGCUCCUAGUACGAGAGGACCGGAGUGGACGCAUCACUGGUGUUCGGGUUGUCAUGCCAAUGGCACUGCCCGGUAGCUAAAUGCGGAAGAGAUAAGUGCUGAAAGCAUCUAAGCACGAAACUUGCCCCGAGAUGAGUUCUCCCUGACCCUUUAAGGGUCCUGAAGGAACGUUGAAGACGACGACGUUGAUAGGCCGGGUGUGUAAGCGCAGCGAUGCGUUGAGCUAACCGGUACUAAUGAACCGUGAGGCUUAACCUUACAACGCCGAAGCUGUU
rnacentral:rRNA from 1 species